ACAAUCCCAUGUAAUGAACAAGAAUGGGAUAAAGAGUGUUGGCUUACAAUCGCCACUUCACACAAUACAUAAAUAAAUUCAUACAUCAUCCAAAAUAUACACAUAGACCGACUACGGUCAAAUCCAAAUGAAAAGAAGAUAACCCCAAAUGCUAGAUCCCCGAUCGUCCCAACUGGGCUCCACUACUGAUCAUAAGGAAACGAAACAUAGUAACGACCAAGGUCCUCGUCAAACUCCCACUUGAGCUCGGUUGCGUCACCUGCACUGGUAUCAACGGCACCUGCAACUUUUUCGGAAGUAUCUGUGAGUCACGAGGACUCAGCAAUCUCACACCCGCGAGAUCAAGACUAUUUAAGUUUAUGGGUAGGAGAAGGUAGUGAGGUGGAGCUGCAGCAAGCACUAAGCAUAUAUGGUGGCUAACAUACGCAAAUAAUAGCGAGAAGAGGAGCAACGGAAACGGUCGUCAACUAGUAAUGAUCAAGAAGUGAUCCUGAACUCCUACUUACGUCAAACAUAACCCAAAAGCCGUGUUCUCUUCCCGGACUCCGCCGAAAAGAGACCAUCACGGCUACACGCGCGGUUGAUGCAUUUUAAUUAAGUCGAGUGUCAAGUUCUCUAGAACCGGAUAUUAACAAAUUCCCAUCUGCCACAUAACCGCGGGCAAGGCUCUCGAAAGUUUAUACCCUGCAGGGGUGUCCCAACUUAGCCCAUUAUAAGCUCUCACGGUCAACGAAGGAUAUUCCUUCUCCCGGGAAGACCCGAUUAGUCUCGGAAUCCCGGUUUACAAGACAUUUCGAAAAUGGUAAAACAAGACCAGCAAAGCCGCCCGAUGUGCCGACAAAUCCCGAUAGGAGCUGCACAUAUCUCGUUGUCAGGGCACACCGGAUGAGCAAGACAUCGGGUUGGCAUAGAACCGGGUUGCCCAGGGGGCGCCGGACAUCGCUCGGUUUGGACCAGCACUCGAAGGAGCACUGGCCCGGGGGUUUAAAUAAAGAUGACCCUUGAGUCUGUAGAACCCAAGGGAAAAAGGCUUAGGUGGCAAAUGUUAAAACCAAGGUUGGGCCUAGCUGGAGGAGUUUUAUUCAAAGCGAACUGUCAAGGGGGUCCCAUAAAUCACCCAACCGCGUAAGGAACGCAAAAUCAAGGAACAUAACACCGGUAUGACGGAAACUAGGGCGGCAAGAGUGGAACAAAACACCAGGCAUAAGGCCGAGCCUUCCACCUUUACCAAGUAUAUAGAUGCAUUAAUUAAAUAAGAGAUAUUGUGAUAUCCCAACAUAUCCAUGUUCCAACAUGGAACAAUCUUCAUCUUCACCUGCAACUAGCAACGCUAUACGAGGGGCUCAGCAAAGCGGUAACAUAGCCAAGCAACGGUUUGCUAGGAAGGCUGAAAAGGUUAGAGGCUGACAUGGCAAUAAGGGAGGCAUGAUAUAACAAGUGGUAGGUAGCGCAACAUAGCGAUAGAGCGAACAACUAGCAAGCAAAGAUAGAAGUGAUUUCGAGGGUAUGGUCAUCUUGCCUGAAAUCCCGCUAGGAAGAAGAACGAGUCCAUGAAGAAGACAAACGGAUGUAGUCGAAGGAAUCCUCACAACUCCAGAACGAAACCGAAGCUAACGAGAGAAGCAAACCGGAAAGAAGCAAACAACAUGGUAAACAACCAUCACAUGAACAUGGCAUGAUGCGCAACCAAGUAUGAUGCAUGUCCGGUUUAAUGAGGCAUGGCAUGGCAAAGUGCACAAACAAUACUACAAAUUAAGUGGAGCUCAAUAUGCAAUGAGUUGCAUAUAGACGAAACACCACAUUCGAGUUAUUUAGUUCGCUCUCGUUAAGGUACACAACAAUAUUAAAUGUUUUUAAACAUGGCAAGAGGUGAAUCAUAUGAAAACUACCUAUCUAGGCAAGUUUAAAUGAGGCCGGAACAACAAACAACAAUUCCGGAAAAUCCCCAUUUGCAUAUUUUGAAUUUGCUACUGUUCUGCCCUAAACACAAUUUUAAUGUUGUUAAACAGCAAAAUAAAGUGCACCAUGUUAAACUAGGCAUUUUUCUACCCCAUUUACAUAUAAAGUUUAUUUAAAUCCAAGCGACGGUUAUUUAGUUAUGAAAUAAAUCAUUUUAACAUGGCAUUUAUACAAAUUUAAACAAACAGCAAGUUUAAACAUUUUUAACAUGGAUGAAAGUAGCAUAUUAUGAAACUAGAUGAAAAACUAAGCAUUUUACAUGUAUAAAGUUUUACAUAUGAUGCACGGUUUUGAGUCACUAAAUGCAUGAUCUAGAGGGACUAAAUUGUAAAACAGUUGUCCUGGACAAAUGGAAAAACCGUUGAGCAGAGAAAAAAACAAUACUGGGCCAGAAGGAGAAGGUUAGUGCAGACCACCGGCGGAUUAGGCCCAAGCGCGUGUGAGUCAAUGUUGAUAAGAAGAACCAGAGGAAAAACCUGAG
rnacentral:lncRNA from 1 species